rnacentral:tRNA from 1 species
GAUGGGGAAGCCAAAAUAGAGGCGCCGAUCUUGUAAAUCGGAGAGUGAGGAUAUUCCUCCCCCAUCUC